GUGCUCACUUGGCCAGCACAUAUACUAAAACUGGAAUGAUACAAAGACUAGCACGACCUCUGCACAAGGAUGACACACAAAUUUGUGAAGCGUUUCAUGUUUUU
ensembl:snRNA U6 U6 spliceosomal RNA